rnacentral:rRNA from 1 species
GACGUAGGGCGCGAGCGUUGUCCGGAUUUAUUGGGCGUAAAGAGCUCGUAGGCGGCUUGUCGCGUCGUCCGUGAAAACCUGCGGCUCAACUGCAGGCUGGCGGUCGAUACGGGCAGGCUGGAGUUCGGUAGGGGAGACUGGAAUUCCUGGUGUAGCGGUGAAAUGCGCAGAUAUCAGGAGGAACACCGGUGGCGAAGGCGGGACUCUGGGCCGAUACUGACGCUGAGGAGCGAAAGCGUGGGGAGCGAACAGG